UAAGACAUAGGUCGCAAACGUUAUCCGGAAUUAUUGGGCGUAAAGGAUGCGUAGAUGGUUCAGUAAGUUACUGGUGGGAAAUCGAGGCCCAACCUCGUGGAAGUUAGUAAUACUGUUGAACUUGAGUGCAGGAGAGGUUAACGGAACUUCAUGUGGAGCGGUAAAAUGCGUAGAUAUAUGAAAGAACAUCAAUAUAGCGAAGGCAGUUAACUAUUCUGCUACUGACAUUGAGGCAUGAAAGCGUGGGGAGCAAAACGGAUUAGAUACCCGUGUAGUCCACGCCCUAAACGAUGAGUGCUAGAUAUUGGGAACUUGAUUCUCAGUGUCGCUAGGUAACCCGGUAAGCACUCCGCCUGGGGAGUACGCUCGCAAGAGUG
rnacentral:rRNA from 1 species